rnacentral:rRNA from 1 species
AUUUUGAACCGCUGGUUCGAAAUUGAAAGGCGGCUUCGGCUGUCRCUUAUGGAUGGACCCRCGUCGMAUUAGCUAGUUGGUGAGGUAACGGCUCACCAAGGCMACGAUUCGYAGCCGAKCUGAGAGGGUGAUCGGCCACACUGGGACUGAGACACGGCCCAGACUCCUACGGGAGGCAGCAGUAGGCAKUCUUCCGCAAUGGACGAAAGUCUGACGGAGCAACGCCGCGUGAGUGAWGAAGSCUUUCGGGUCGUAAAACUCUGUUGUUAGGGAAGAACAAGUGCUAGUUGAAUAAGCUGGCACCUUGARGGUACCUAACCAGAAAGCCACGGCUAACUAUGUGCAAGCCSCCGKGUAAUACGUAGGUAGGAAGCGUUAUCCGGAAUUAUUGGCCUAAAGCGCGGGCAGGUGGUUUCUUAAGYCUGAUGUGAGAGCCC